rnacentral:lncRNA from 1 species
GGGAGCCUGAGGGAUCUAAGUGAAGAUUCCAUCUGCCCAACUGACUUCUUCUCUCCUGAACAUGUUGAGAUUAAGGCUUGAAGAGGAUUUUCCCUGUGAUUAAUGGAGAAAGGAGGUUUUCUGAAUCUGACUGCUGGCAGCAUCAAUGAGAAGAUCAUUGGACUUACUUGGAUAUCUAACAACUUAAAGCCUUGGCCCUAUUUGAUUUGGACUCCUGGUGUGACAUGUGAUAUUUGGGACAUUAAUUUUUUAAAUGCCAGCCUGGAUGGCCUAGAGGCACCUUGUACCAGGACAGUGAUGGCUGCCAGAAACCUAUUGCACUGGCUAACUAGAGACUUACUGACAUUUUUGCCCCAGUCCUGGUUUCUACACUUCUAUCUUAGGGGCUGACUCACCCCCUUGUGACCUGUCUGCCAAUUGGGGGAAGCAGUCGCUGGAUAUCCUUCAGAUCUCCAAGCAGGUCUCUACCUACCUAGGACUCAGGCAUUCACUGAGGACAUGUCCCUAAAGACCCUGUGUCCACAGCCUUUCCUUCCCUGUUCAAGUUUUGGCUACUCCCCUGUGGGAUAUGUGAACCUUGCAUUUGUAACCUUGUCAGUUCUCUAGUUGCUUCUAGGGAAGAAGCACUCAUGGGAGUCACCCAAAUGCCACUGUAACCUCGGCAACUAUUCCAGCCUGAAGCCCUGGACAUUUCCUACAGUCAAUACCUCUCUUCUGACAAUAGGCAGGGACAGUUCUACAAUCAUUCUGCGCUCUGAAGAAGCUACAGAAGAUUGAGAGAGACCAUGACCCCUUUCCCCUAGAUAUUUAGAGAGGGGGGAGAUGACAUGGGGCAUUGUACCCCCAGAAACUUGGGCAAACUAUUAUGAGGGAAAUUCUGAAAUUCUUCUGCUCCCUUACAUCCUCGCGACUCCUAGCGACAGUAAAUACCUUCUCCCACCCGAAUGUGUCCAAUGUUUGUGUGCAUCCUCAGGUUACCUAGCUUAGAAAAAUCCUUGACCUCACUGUCUGAAGUGGCCCCACAAAAUCAGAGAGGGCUAGAUCUUCUAUUCCUCCAGCAGGGUGGACUCUGUGCUGCUCUAGGAGAAGAAAUCUCUUUUAUGCAGACCACACAGAUCUAGUUAGGGAUUCCAGGAUAAAAUUAUGAGAAGACCUGGCCAUCAGGAAGAAAGAACAUGAGACCCAGAAAUCCUGGUAUGCGCAGCUCUUUCUCAAAUCCCCAUGGCUGACAACCCUCAUUUCCACUUUAUUGGGCCCCCUCUUCAUCCUAGUCAUUUUGCAGAACUUUGGUCCUUGUAUCAGUAAUAGACUUGUGUACUUUGUAAAGAAGCGCAUUAACA